GAGUUUGAUCUUGGCUCAGAUUGAACGCUGGCGGCAGGCCUAACACAUGCAAGUCGAGCGGUAGAGAGAAGCUUGCUUCUCUUGAGAGCGGCGGACGGGUGAGUAAUGCCUAGGAAUCUGCCUGGUAGUGGGGGAUAACGCUCGGAAACGGACGCUAAUACCGCAUACGUCCUACGGGAGAAAGCAGGGGACCUUCGGGCCUUGCGCUAUCAGAUGAGCCUAGGUCGGAUUAGCUAGUUGGUGAGGUAAUGGCUCACCAAGGCGACGAUCCGUAACUGGUCUGAGAGGAUGAUCAGUCACACUGGAACUGAGACACGGUCCAGACUCCUACGGGAGGCAGCAGUGGGGAAUAUUGGACAAUGGGCGAAAGCCUGAUCCAGCCAUGCCGCGUGUGUGAAGAAGGUCUUCGGAUUGUAAAGCACUUUAAGUUGGGUAGGAAGGGCAGUAAAUUAAUACUUUGCUGUUUGACGUUACGACAGAAUAAGCACCGGCUAACUCUGUGCCAGCCG
rnacentral:rRNA from 1 species